AAAUUUUGAUUUUGGAUUAAUAAUAGUUAAGAUAAUAUUAUCUAAUUUUGAUUUAUUUAGUAGUUAAUGGAAUUUUAACUCGGUAGUUUUUUAUCUGUAAAAUAUUUGUUCCAGAAUAAUCGGCUAGACUUAUAAGAUUUUUACUUUAUUUUGUUUUUAUUAAAUUUUUAAUUUAUAUAUUUUUAUUUUUAGGUGGAAUUUGAAUUUUUAUUUUAUAUUAUAUUUAAUAAUAAGUUUUUUAAUUGAAUUAGAUUAGUACCUAAUUAGUUUUAAUUUAUUAUAUCAGAAGUAAAGUUAUAUUUAAACUGAAAAAAUAUUGGCAGAUUUAUUAAAUAAUCUUUGGAGGUUGAGUUUUAAUUGAGAACCCUCAUUGUUUACUAGUCUUAUUGGCUCAUGUAUGAUCGUUUAUUUUAUAUUUUAGGUAUAAAAUUUAAAUUUCUUUUGUUAAAAUAGAUAUAUAUAUGGUUUAUGUAUUAGUUUAUUUUGACCUACAUUUAUGUUUUUAUUGGAUAAAAACUUGAAAUUGUUUUUUGAAAUUGUAAAAGACAGUAAAUUAAUUUUUAUAUUUAAUUGAAGAUUUAUUUAAAAAUGGUUCAAAUCAUCCAUCAAUUGCCUAACAGGGAGUAAGUUGUAGUAAAGUAGGUUUAGGGGAAUCUGAACCUAGUG
rnacentral:ncRNA from 1 species